UAUCAUUAAUCACCUCUCUUAUCGAACCCAUAUAUAAGAUGGUGGAUUGCGGUUGGCAGGUGGUGCAUGGAACCUUGCUUGAAUAUUUUCUAUCAUGGGAGUGGUUUAUGUGGGGAAAUUUUUUGCUAUAUAAGGAGAGCAUUUUAUGAGAUGGAUGAAGUGGUUUUCCACUAGCUAAUCAAAGAUUAAGUGGUUCAAGUGAAGAUAAUUGCAAUGUUUGGAAUAAAGCUUGGUCUGUGACCAAUGCAGUACUUUAUCUCUGUUUCUGCUAGCUAUUGCAUUGCUCCCGGACCAAGCUUCAUUCCCUACAUAAGUUAUCGAAUUAAUUUUUAAUUUCUUGAUGUUCAAUGGAUCAUCAUAAUCUUUCUUUCUUUGUUUCUUUACUGUGCUCUCUUUUUCAAUGGAAUUCAGGCUUCUUUUUUUUUUUUUUUUUCUAUUUACAGUUGAUUAAUCAGUAAUUUAUCAUUCUUGCUGCAGCUAUAAAAAAGGAAAGACAGGGUGCUGAAGUAGUUCAUUCGCAUGGUUUCGCUUUGGCAGAAUUAAUUUUUCAACUUCUUGGAAUAUAUAACAAUUUCCUCUUUCUUUACAUUCAGUGGGUCUCUCCCUUCCCACCUCGUCCACCUCUUGCUGUGGCCUACUCUCAAAGCCUUAUGUUAUUUUGAAGCUCUGCGACGCCAAGGUUUUUCUAUGGGGUCUUUAUUAACCCCUGUUCUUCCCUGCAAGUUGAUCCCGGUGACUGCCCUCUAGAAAAUGGUGGCGAUAGCGACAAUCUAUGACUGCUCUGUUUCUUUCUACCAUAGCCAGGCUUUGGCAUGUUAAACUGGACUCGUGUGCUAGGUUUGGGAACCUUUAAUUUAAGCCAUGGAUUGAUUUAUCUUGUGAGAUGGGCUUCAUUAGUUUCUAAACCUUUUGUUUGGUCUAUUUUAGCUCUUAUAUACCCAUUAAUGAUAUUUACACCUUUUGACGGAAAUAGAAAAUGCCUGAACCUUGGUGUCAAGCUUUUCAAGCUCAACCCUUAGUUUUGCAGUGUCCUUAUCUUCAGGAUUCUUUUUCUUAUUCUCUUCUCCACCAUCUUUUUUUAUCCUCCUUAUCUUCGUUGUCCAUGUCUUUAAAUUUCUCCUCCUUCCCCUUUGUUUUUAGAUUUUCUUUGUUCUCCUUUUUAACACGAGUUUUAGGUUAUUGAAUUUGAUUGUGAAUUGGGCUUUAAUCUGAGGCCCUUUAUAUGUAUAUAUGAUAGGAAAUAUUGAGAGAGAAAACGAUAAUUUAAUCCUUGGUUUUAUGUAUAUAUUCUCUUGAGUUGCGAUGUAUUAAGUAGGUUUGAUGGGGAGGAUUACAAAAUAAGGAUGCGUCAUGCAUGGCAUUAGCGCCUAAACUAUAAGCCUCCCUAUUGCCAGAGUCUCUAACACAAUGAAAAUAAACAUGAUCCACAUAAGUGGAAUAUUGAAUUACAUCUAACAAGACAUCAUGAAUAUAUUGAGGACCAACAGAUUUUCUUAUGGCAUUGAUAACAUACCGAGUUAUGAUAGACACACCUCAAUACUCUUUUUAACAAACAAAAAAACAAUUGAAAAUUAUUAAGAAACAUUGGUGAUUGGGUGGGUCUUCAAUGGAUGAGGGGAGAAAGUCUAGUG